UACGAAGGGACCAAGCGUUGUUCGGAUUUACUGGGCGUAAAGGGCGCGUAGGCGGCGUGACAAGUCACUUGUGAAAUCUCUGGGUUUAACCCAGAACGGCCAAGUGAAACUGUUGUGCUAGAGUGCAGAAGGGGCAAUCGGAAUUCUCGGUGUAGCGGUGAAAUGCGUAGAUAUCGAGAGGAACACCAGAGGUGAAGACGGGUUACUGGGCUGGCACUGACGCUGAGGCGCGAAAGCUAGGGGAGCAAACGGG
rnacentral:rRNA from 1 species